CGCCCGCCCCGCCCUGGCCGCGCAGCCCGCAGCGGGCAGAGUCGGGCUGGCUGUGGGGUGCCCUGGAAAAGCGGAGAGCGCCCGGGAGGCGAGGGUGAGAGGAUAUCCCCUGCGGAGCGCGCCGGUGUGGUGACCCAAGCACCUCACGGUCACCGCCCUGCCCUGCAGUGGAGUCCGGGGCAAACGGACGUAGUUUAAGGGUUGACAGACGUAACUAAAGAAAACAGUCUAGGUGCUCUUGAAAGAAACACCUGUAAGAACAAAGACCUGGGAUGUGAAAGAUGUGAGAUCAAAACCUAUCGGACUGUCAAGAAAACAAAAAUGUCAACAAGCAGGAAUUGCUUUCUGCCAGAAGUUAAAAAUGGAACACGUCACAGACACAGAGCUCACCACCUGUAAGCUGGAUCUCUUCCUGGCGCUUGGGCCGCAGAGCAUCCUGGGCAAUUUGAUGAAGUGGACACAACACAGAUGUCUCCUCGCUGAGGGACCCUGGAUGAUGUUUCUCUCACCUAGAGAUUUGAGGAAGGAGAAAGAAGAGUGGGAAGAGGCUGGAAAGACCUGGACUGGAAACCACUGACACGCACGUGGGCAAGCAGUAGACUGCCUUUCCAGUCUGUGCUGGCAGGAAAAGCUGGGGCAUAUGGCCCCACAGGAAGAGGUGCAGCUCACACCUCCGCAGCUCUGAAUCCAACCAGCAGGCUUCCCGACACGUGAAUAUACGGCCUGCAUCAACCCUGAAACCAUCAGCAGAAAACUUUCGUGGGCUUCUUGAGGACACCAAGGAGAUCUUGAAACCCAUGUUUCUCCAUUUACGGCUGACAGCUUCCUUCACUCCCAGGACCUGCAACACCACGGACCAGGCCAUCAACGAACACUAAAAACCGUGAGUGGCAAUCAGGUUAAAACCAAAAUUGCUAUAUAUAUAUAUUUUUUAAAUGACUAUGGGGUGUAUAUAUAUAAUGAUAAUGACUAUUUUAAGCAUUCAAAAAUAACACAUGGGGCGUUCCCUUGUGGUUUAAUGGUUAAGAUUCACCACU